AUACGUAGGGUCCGAGCGUUGUCCGGAGUUACUGGGCGUAAAGCGCGCGCAGGCGGCUCGUCAAGCAUGGCGUGAAAGCCCCCGGCUCAACCGGGGAGGGUCGUCGUGGACUGGCGAGCUUGAGGGCGGUAGGGGCUGGUGGAAUUCCCGGUGUAGUGGUGAAAUGCGUAGAGAUCGGGAGGAACACCCGUGGCGAAGGCGGCCAGCUGGGCCGACCCUGACGCUGAGGCGCGAAGGCGUGGGGAGC
rnacentral:rRNA from 1 species